rnacentral:rRNA from 1 species
UACGUAGGGAGCAAGCGUUGUUCGGAUUUACUGGGCGUAAAGGGCGCGUAGGCGGCAGAUUAAGUCAGCUGUGAAAUCUCCGAGCUUAACUCGGAACUGUCAGCUGAUACUGUUUUGCUAGAGUGCGGAGGGGGCAAUCGGAAUUCUUGGUGUAGCGGUGAAAUGCGUAGAUAUCAAGAGGAACACCUGAGGUGAAGACGGGUUGCUGGGCCGACACUGACGCUGAGUGCGCGAAAGCCAGGGGAGCAAACGGG